CCCUCCGCAGGGUUGCUAAGGGUGAAACUUUUCCCCUGACUUCCCUCACUUUGGGCCAGGAGGAGGGAGGCUGCGGGAUCCCAGCGGACUCGUCGACCCCCUCACCCCCACCCCCACCAAAAAUAGCAACCUAAAAUUAAAUCAAGAGGGGAGCCACGAAAAAUAGCCCCAAAAUUAGACUCUCCACCUCCACCUCCUCUUCCUCCUCCUGCUGCUUCUCCCAAAGCACAUCCAACCCAAGCACCAGGAUUUCAAUUCUUAACUACCGACCAAAGAAUAUGCAUCUGGAGAUUAAGGUCGCCCUGAAUUUUAUAAUUUCCUAUCUCUACAACAAGCUUCCACGACGAAGAGCUGAUUUGUUUGGAGAGGAGCUGGAAAGGCUUUUAAAAGUUAAAUACGAAGGUCACUGGUAUCCAGAGAAACCUCUUAAAGGUUCAGGGUACCGUUGCGUUCACAUUGGAGAAACUGUAGAUCCUGUAGUGGAGCAGGCAGCUCGUCGGAGUGGACUGGACAUAGAGGAUGUACGAGCCAAUGUCCCUGAAGAAUUGAGUGUUUGGAUUGACCCAUUUGAAGUGUCUUAUCAAAUUGGUGAGAAGGGAUCCGUAAAAGUGUUGUACCUGGAAGAUGUGGAAAGUAGCGCUGAGCUAGAUAAAGAAAUAAAGAGCAGCUUCAAUCCAGAGGCGCAAGCUUUUAUCCCAAUCACUAACCAAGAGACCUCGCUGUCUAACUCGCCAUCUCCAUCCUUUGGCCAGUCUCCUAGCCCCACCUUUAUCCCUCGUGCCACCCAGCCCAUUACAUUUACUACAGCUACCUUUGCAGCCACCAAAUUUGGCUCAACCAAGAUGAAGAAAGGGGGUCAGCGCAUGGCACGAUCGCCUACGAAUAACCUGGCGAAGCACAAGGGCCUUUCCCUGUCCAUGCACUCGCUGAAUUUCAGCCCAGCUCAAGGUGCUCCUUCUCAACUUUCUCCCAACGCCAAGGAGUUUGUCUUUAGUGGGGCUCCAGGCCUCUUUUUUGAUGGGGAAAGCCAGAAUCUUGCAACCUCUGGCCAAUUUGCCACUCCCUUCAACACUGGAAGCAGUCUCUUUGCCGAAAAAUCCCCUUUUGUUGAAGGCUUGAACUUCAACCUUCCUUACCCAAACCAACCUUUCCAGCCUGUUGUCCUGGCAAAUUGAGGUAAAUUGGAGAACUUUUAUUUCUAAUAACUUUUUUUUUUUUUUUUUAAAAGAAGAAAAAGGAAGCUUAUCAUUUACACAAUUAUUUAAGAAAAAGAAAACCACAAAAUGUAUCUACUGGGAGAAAUGGUACUUAGGUUGCAUAGCUACUGGACACCUGUGAAAAUCUCACCUUUUUUUUUUUUCUUUUUUAUGAAAAGAUACAUAUAUAUGAAAAUCUAUAAAUAGAGAGCUAUAUUCUAUCAUUUAAUAAUUUUUUAUUUCCCUUGGAUGUAAAAUGGAAUAAACCUCAACUAUUUUUCUAUAUUCCUCCUGUGCCGAGAGUUAACCAUGUAAUUUUUUUUCAGAAACUCCACCCUAUUAAAAUGAACAGUCCUAUCAGCAGGACUGUAAUUUGUAACAACUGCCACAUCAGGAAAUGAGGAAACUGGCUUGCUGAAGUUAAAAAUCCAACUUAUUACAGGAUCAUCCCUACAAAUUUCAGACUGUAAUUUUUUUUUUACCCCUGCUUUUUCUUGUUUUUUUUUUUUUUGUCUUGCUCUCAAUUUGUUUCUAUAUAUACACAAUCUCAUUAUUUCAAACGUAACUUUUUUUUUCUUUUUUCUUUUCUGUUUACACUGAAAUAUAUUACAACUGAAUCAGACCAAUGCACAGAUCUGCCCUGUUUAGUGAAGGGGUUGAAUUCUGACUGUACCAUGCAAUAUUCUCAAAGCAUGUUCAGUUUCCUUUCGUGCUUAUAAUGCAGGUCAGUAUAUACCCUAAAUUUUAUUUUACAUAAUAUAAUGCAAGUCAAAUAUAUAGUAGUAAAGUUUAAAAAUAAAUUCAUUUGGAAAAUUGGUAGCAAAACCCUCUUCCAAACAUGAUACACUUUUAGCCAAAAAUAGAAACAUAAACACAUUUAUUUAUCUUACUAAUGAUUUAAUUUUGAGACUGAUAUACUUGUAAAGGAACUGGAAAGCGUAUUUCUCAGAAUUUAAAAACAAAUUGGCAAUGAAAAGUUAAAUAAGCAUGCUUAUGAAAGAACAUUUGAUCUUGCAUUAUAUUAAAUUGAAAGGAAAUAUUCGGUGUAAGGGUUAUCUCCUUCUCCCCUUUUGGUCUCUUAAUAUUCUGCCCCCAAACCCUCUUACACAACACUCGCUGUAACUCGAUAGAACUGGAGGCCCUAAUUAUAUGCACUUUUUCAUAUGGGUUAUAAAUACAGAUUAACAUUACUCUGUUUAGCAGUAUUAAAGAUGGCUACAUUGCCUGAGACACAUGCCCUAAAUUGGAACACUGUCAUCUGUUUUAUGACCACUUUUUUUUUUUUUUUCCCAUCCUCACGCCUUCAUAGCAAAGGUGUAUUUAAAUAUGUGAAAUGUACAUUAACAAUACUUAGUCCAAAAAAUGGCCAACAGGGCCAGACGUUAAUGGCAUCAGAAAAGAUAAUAUAUUAGCAAAUGUUUUAUAUUAUAACUAUAUUUUUUAAAACUGUUUAUAAAUCCAUUUUUUUAUUUAUUUUAUUUUCUAUGAAAAGAUUUUUUUGGAACAAGCCUUGCAAGGAUCUGUAAUCAAAAUUAUAUAUGUAUAUUUUAAGAAAAAAUAGGAAAAAAACUAAAAAAAUCACAUUCUAGCCUCUUGUUGAAGAAAAUAUUUUGUAAAGAUAUAGAAGUCCAGCAUUGAGCGUGUCAAAUUGGAUUUUUCUGAGUUUGAAAGCAGAAAUUUUGGUUUUAUUUCGUCCGUAUAAUCUUUUUACAUGUAGCUCUUAACUGGUAAUUUCCAAGUCUGUUUUCCAGUUAUUUGUUAAAUGCAUAAUUUUGACGCCAAAAUUCUGAAAUGGUUUUGCCUAAGUUUCUUUCUUCACUGAAAGCAUUGGUCACAUGAUUUCAUAGAUAAUCUCUGUUGGAAUAGAACAUAACUAUCAAUCCCACCCACCUACCCCUCACCCCCGUUUCCAUCUAUUUUGAGUAAUUUAUUUGCCUCUAUACAUAUUAUUGCAGUGUUUUACAACACAAACUGGUUAGUGGGUUCCACUGUCUAGAAUCCAUGAUCCCAAAAAGUAGGCAAUCAGGGGAACAUUUGAUUUGAAUUAAAUGUAUUUUUUUCCUAUGCUUUUGUAGAAAGCUUUUAUUAAAAAAAAAAAAAAACUACUUAAUGCCACAAAUUCUCAUGUGGCUGCUUCUCUUCAACGUUCAUCCGUGGGAUAAUAGUUACUUUAAUGCCGUUUAUACAUCAUGUAAUGUUGGCGAGAACAUGCGCCCACCCCCAUCUUCAUUUGGCCCAGACAUACUACCAGAAAGAUAUAAAUGUAAAAUUCCAUUCACCAUUAUUUUCAUGUGUUAUCUGUUUCAAACUAUACUGCCCUUUUGAUUAUUCAAAUAUUUGUUUAGUAUUUCUCUCAAGAAAGAUUUCUCUGCUGUUAGUCUUUUUUUCCUCUCCCUCUACGGUAAUCUAUGACUUUCUGUAUUGAAUAUAUAACAGUGGUUUUUUACCUCUGGGUCAGAACCCAAAAAUCUGUUGCCAUGCCAUAUUUAGUGCAUUCAUGCUGGUUGGAAUUAGCCCUUUUAAUGUUUAGUAGGUCUCAGGCAGCUAGUCGCAGUGAACGGUUCAAGUAGAUGGUUUACUGCAUCAGCUUUGCUUUCCCCAAGGCAGUGGAGCUACAGAAUCUAAUGAAGGGGUGUUGCAGAAUAUUUUGGUAUACAUCGUAUUGCAGUUAACAAGUAAACCACCAAGCUAUUUCUAGAAUUGAAAAGUGGAAUGCUAAGCCAAUUUCAUAUCCUCUAUAUGGGUCCUGGUCCAUAAAGAGGUUAAGGACCACUGAACUUUAAGGGGUAGAUUUACAAAAAAAAAACGAAGUUUUUGCAAAUCUACCAAGAGUAUCUUAAUAAUCCUUGUGUAUAAUCUCUGUUCUCUAAAAGAUACUGCUAUCCUCUUCAUGUUUUAGGAAAACAUUUAAACUGCAAUAGAUGGUGAAUCAACCAGCAUCAUUAACGAUUGUUUAAAAAAGAAAAAAAAAAAUGGUCUGAAAACCUCAUACUAUAUAGACGGAGUAGGAAAAUAUUCCAAAAUAAUGCAAGGGGUUGGUACUGCAUUGCUGGACAGUGCUUUACAGGCCCUUUAGAGGGCUUACGUUUGAUUUGCGCUUGUAUUUUAUAUAAUUAGUGUAACGUUACACUAAAACACUAUGGCGUUUAUUCUCUCAACCAAGACUUCACAAUGUAGUGGUUCGGGUGUCUAUAGACUAUCACUGCUGACUUUUCAACGUAAACGCUGUAAAAGGCAGUGUUUACAUUGGUGCCUAGGUACACCUCUAGUGGCACACUUAGAUGGCCAAUAAAGGUAUUUCAGCUCCUGCGUUCGGAAGUCUCCACCCUCUGCUGAACGUUUCCCAUAGAGAUGCUGAUUGGCUUUCCUCUUGAUUCCUAUUCCCUCAAGCUGCUGGCUAAAAAAAUGUGUGUGCUCGCCACACUCGCACUGAGCUAACGGCAUGAAGAGUGGAACCUGCAGCCUGUGUGCAAUGUCUUUAUGACCAGCAUAUCACUGGGUUCGUUAUCCAGAGUGCACAGGCUACUGGUUUCUUCUAAUACUGACCUGAGAGCAGAGAUCACAUUAUAUCAGUGCUACCAGCUGCAGGGAUGGGUUGGGUGUAGCAGUAAUAAUAAUGAUGGGAUUUUACAUGUUAAAUCACUGAUAGAGCCCCUUUAAUUAUUAAUAUACAAGCAAAUUAUUCAGUGUCUGAUUGUUAAACUGAAACUAGUCCCCACCACCUUUGAUUACUGGAACCUGCACUUGCAGAGUGAGUAAUAAUUAUAAUCGAAAUCAUUACUUCAUGCUGAUUUGUCAUUAUCCUGCUUCCUAAAACAGGACAUGGCAAAAUGUGCCAUCAUAGGUGCAGCGAAAUAGGCCGCAAAAUCUUUAGAACUUGCUUUUGCAACUUCUGUUCAUAUUUUUGGAUAUCUGUUUCAGAUUGGAAUGUUCAUUUUAAGAAGUUCUUUACCAGAAGUCCACUUUUGGCGGGACAGUCCGAGGAGCAGUGCUCCUGGCAUGAUUCUUGUAGCAGGCCGGGUAGGCUGUCAGUAGGUCUGUAGGUGGACCGAACCAUUAUGGCCCAUUGUGUAUUGCCUGCAGCACAGUCUGCACCACUGGCAACACCAAAUUCUGUGGGUUCAUGAUGAUAAGUAUGCUUUAAUAAUUCUAAUUCAAGUCUGCAAUUUUCUCUUUAGUUCACUACUGUUUGGCGUUUACUGAAUAAACUUCUAUGUUUAGAAAGUAACAUCUGGGAGAAACUGUAAAUGCAUUGAACUUUGGGGAGCCUGUAUGAUAAUACUGCAAUACUCUCACAUUACAACUAGUAAAUCAUACUAUUUGACAUGUGAAAAUCUUCUGUUAUUGGAUUCCAGGAUUCUACCUGUCCUCUGCAGCCAACAAAUGGCAAAUUAUGUACUUUUGAGCAUCAUAAAAUAUCCUGUGUUUUGCUCACUGUAUUUUUGGUAGGACUAUUACUUUUUUUUAUUUUCACCUUGAGAAAAUAUAAAACAAAUCUGUAAACUAUUUUUAGGCAGAAUACAUGCCCUUUAGAAGUUUAUUUUUAUUUUUUUUUCAAUUUAAAAAAAAUAAAUUUAAAUACAUGUAAAUAGUUGCCUAUUUUGUAACACCGUGGCACAUGUACUAAAGAAAUUGUUUAUUUUUUAUUUUUUUUUCUGGAAAAGAAAUUCAGAAAAAGGGAGUAUGUUGAAACAUUUAGAAGUGUUCUGGGGGGAGAAAACAAGGUGGAAAAACAACGAAUUCGUUUUUUACGAUACUUACAUUUCUGUAGAAACCUUACAGUUUGUUUUCAAAAUGUAAGAGGAUGUGAUCAAUAUAGUAUAACUUGCCAUUUAUCAAGUUUGUAAAUGUUCCCACUUUAAGACGUUCAUUCCACAAAAGGAUUUAUUUAUAUUGUAUUAUGGAGCACAAAAACGUUUCCGUAUAAUUUUUGCUAAAAACUUUGAAAGCUCAAACACGCUCUUGAAAUUGCUUUAUCGAUGGAGUCUGCAUGGUGUGACUUGAUAUCUUUACAUCCUUUUGUCCAACUUGACAUUUGUCAACACAACUGGACAAUGAUUCUCCAACUCAGCUUGACCAUUACAUUUUCUCUGGCACAGCACCCACCUAGUCCUUUUUUUAUUUUUUUUUAUUUUCUUGUAGGUUUUUCCAUUUUAAAAAAAAAUAAUAAUAAUUUUGUGAUGUGAAGAAAAUUUAUACUUGGCAGAAAAAAGGUGUCAAAAAUCUACAAUUUUAGAUCCCAUCUCAUGUGUGUAAUAAAAACACAUUAAAUACUAGACUACCAACACUUAAUUCAGCCUAAUGUACCAUUUUAUUCCCUUGCAUCUUUGGUUUUUGGAUAAACAAUACUUCACAGGUGUGAAACUACUAAGUGUAAAUUGCUACACUGCAUUUUUAUUUCUUUAGCAAUUUUUUUAUAUAUAUAUAAAAAUGAAGAAAUCAAACACUAGUCAUUAUGUGUUUCCUGUUUUUAUUUGCGUUUGUAAAAAAACAAAACAACAAAUGCAUAAUUUGCUACAUUUGUAAAAUGUGAGAGGAAUAUAUUCUAACUAUAUAUUUCUAACAUACAUUAAGCUAAACUUCUGUUCAGGUUUUUUCUUAAUUAAAAUAAUUUUAAAUAAAAAAUUAUAAAAAAAAUUUAAAAUAUUUUUUCAAAAAAAUGUAAAAUAAAAAAAAAACUUAAAGUAAACUCUAGAAAACUGCCUCUCUUUAAGCGGAUACAGUGUCUAAUCUUGUACAGAACGGAGAAUUAAAGAUAAUCUUUAUAUGAAAACAAUUUAAAUAUUAUAAAUGUUACACUAUAACAGGUUUUGUUUUACCUUCAAUUUUGUUUAGCGCAGGUCGAUGGUUUGGGAGGGAAUUUUUUUUUGUUUUAUUUACUGAAAAAUUAUACAAUUGAUUUAUUUCCCUUUUUAUUUGUGUAAUUUUUGGAACAUUGUGCAAUAUUUGAUGGCCUAAUGGAGUGUUCAGUUUCAGAUGUACAGUUUAUAUUGUUCCAAAGUUUUUUAAGUUUGUAUUAAAAGCAUGAUAUUGAAUA